rnacentral:tRNA from 1 species
GAAGGUAUAGCUCAGUGGCAGAGUGCAUGCUUAGCAUGCACAAGGUCCUGGGUUUAAUCCCCAGUACCUCCA